rnacentral:rRNA from 1 species
UACGUAGGGGGCAAGCGUUGUCCGGAAUCAUUGGGCGUAAAGCGCGUGUAGGCGGUCCGGUAAGUUCGCUGUGAAAGUCGGGGGCUCAACCCUCGAAUGCCGGUGGAUACUGUCGGGCUAGAGUGCGGAAGAGGCGAGUGGAAUUCCUGGUGUAGCGGUGAAAUGCGCAGAUAUCAGGAGGAACACCUAUUGCGAAGGCAGCUCGCUGGGACGUAACUGACGCUGAGACGCGAAAGCGUGGGGAGCAAACAGG